AAUGGUCGAAAGACUGACGCAGCGACGCCGCGUGCGGGAGGAAGCCCUUCGGGGUGUAAACCGCUGUACUCGGGACGAACUUCCCGUUUAGACGGGAUUGACGGUACCGGGGGAGGAAGCACCGGCUAACUCUGUGCCAGCAGCCGCGGUAAUACAGAGGGUGCGAGCGUUGUCCGGAAUCACUGGGCGUAAAGGGCGCGUAGGCGGCUUCUCACGCGUGCGGUGAAAGCCCGGGGGCUUAACUCCGGGUCUGCCGUGCGAACGGGGAGGCUUGAGUCUGGUAGAGGUCGAUGGAAUUCCGGGUGUAGCGGUGGAAUGCGUAGAGAUCCGGAAGAACACCGGUGGCGAAGGCGGUCGACUGGGCCAGUACUGACGCUGAGGCGCGACAGCGUGGGGAGCAAACAGGAUUAGAUACCCUGGUAGUCCACGCCGUAAACGAUGGGCACUAGAUCCUUGGGGGAGCGACCCCUUGAGGGUCGGCGCUAACGCAUUAAGUGCCCCGCCUGGGGAGUACGGCCGCAAGGCUG
rnacentral:rRNA from 1 species